rnacentral:tRNA from 1 species
UGGGGAAUCGUCUAACGGCAGGACUACGGACUCUGACUCCGUCAAUCAAGGUUCGAAUCCUUGUUCCCCAGCCA